UCCUACGGAUGAGCAAAGAAAGUGGUUUCUUGAGAAGGAAUCGACUCUUGGUGAAGAUGCCGUGAA
rnacentral:pre_miRNA from 1 species